rnacentral:rRNA from 1 species
GACGUAGGGGGCGAGCGUUGUCCGGAGUCACUGGGCGUAAAGCGGGCGCAGGAGGGAAGCUUAGAAUCGUGUGAAAGCCCCGGGCUCAACCGGGGGAGGCCAUGGCUAACUGGGUCGCUCGAGCUGUGGAGAGGCCCAUCGAAUUGCAGGUGUAGCGGUGAAAUGCGUAGAGAUCAGCAGGAAGACCAAGGGGGAAGCCAGGGGGCUGGCCGCAGGCUGACGCUGAGGCGAGACAGCGUGGGGAGCAAACCGG